AGCUCCGAAGUGUUAUCAUGUCAGACUGCAAAUCUGAAGAAGCAGACUAACGUCUACCGGGGCUU
rnacentral:tRNA from 1 species